rnacentral:misc_RNA from 1 species
GGAUCAUCCUUUACUGGUGAUGUUCAAGAAGUCAAUCCGAUUACUAAACUUCACUUCAGAGGGGCACGGGUUUUUCUUGCUGUUAUGGAGGAAUUGUUGGCAAAAGGAAUGAAGAAUGCUGAAAAUGCUAUUCUGUCUGGAUGUUCAGCUGGCGGAUUGACUUCAAUUUUACAUUGUGACAGCUUCAAAGCACUCCUACCAAUGGGUGCUAAAGUAAAGUGCUUUUCGGAUGCUGGUUAUUUUAUCGAUGUGAAAGAUAUUUCUGGUGCGCCUCAUAUUGAAGAAUACUUCAGAGAUGUUGUUAGCUUACAUGGUUCUGCCAAAAAUCUGCCACCAGUGUGUACCUCAAGGUUGAAGCCGGAUUUGUGUUUUUUUCCCGCAAAAUGUUGCUCAACACGUGCGGACACCACUUUUCCUAGUUAAUGCAGCCUAUGAUUCCUGGCAGGUAAAGAGCAUUUCUGGAAACUCCAACUCCUGUUGGAUUGUGCUAUCUUCUCUUCUAGAAUUUCCUUU